rnacentral:rRNA from 1 species
UGCAAGUCGAGCGCGGGAAGCAGGCGAUCCUCUUCGGAGGUGACGCCUGUGGAACGAGCGGCGGACGGGUGAGUAACACGUGGGCGACCUGCCUGUAAGAGUGGGAUAACCCCGGGAAACCGGGGCUAAUACCGGAUAAUACUUUUCGUUGCAUAACGAGAAGUUGAAAGGCGGCUUUUAUCUGUCACUUACAGAUGGGCCCGCGGCGCAUUACCUAGUUGGGAAGGGAACGGCUUACCAAGGCGACAAUGCCUACCCCACCUGAGAGGGUGAUCGGCCACUCUGGGACUGAGACACGGCCCAGACUCCUACGGGAGGCAGCCAUAGGGAAUCUUCCCCUGUGGACGUAAAGUCUGACGGACCAACGCCGCGUGAGUGAUGAAGGUUUUCAGAACUGAAAACUCUGUUGUCAGGGAAGAACAAGUGCUCUUUAAAUAAGGAGGCACCUUGUCGGUACCUGACCACAGAGCCCCGGAUAACUACGUGCCGACAGUCGCGGUUAUACAUAGGGGGCAAGCCGUGCGCAGAAUUAUUGGGCGUAAAGCGCGCACAGGCGCUCCUUUAAGUCUGAUGUGAAAGCCCGCGGCUUAACCGUGGAGGGCCAGUGAAAACUGGAGGACUUGAGUACAAAAGAAGAGAGGGGAAUUCCACGUGAAGCGGAGAAAUGCGGAGAGAUGUGGAAGAACACCAGUGGCACGCGCGACUCUCUGGUCUGUAACAGACGCUGAGGUGCGAUAGCGUGGGGCGCCAAACAAGUAUACAUACUCUGGUAGUCCACGGCGUACACGAUGAGUGCUAGGUGUUAGGGGGGUUUCCGCCCUCUUAGGGCUGGAGACACGGCAUUAAACGCU